rnacentral:rRNA from 1 species
UAAACGACUCUCGGCAACGGAUAUCUCGGCUCUCGCAUCGAUGAAGAACGUAGCGAAAUGCGAUACUUGGUGUGAAUUGCAGAAUCCCGUGAACCAUCGAGUUUUUGAACGCAAGUUGCGCCCGAAGCCUCGGCUAAGGGCACGUCUGUCUGGGCGUCACGC